rnacentral:lncRNA from 1 species
CAUCCAGGUAGCCAGAUGAGAAAGAAGAGGCUUCUCUUGCCGCAUCUUCGCCGCAUAGGGCCAACUGAAUAUUUUGAUGAGUCCAGUUCACCCAUGGAAAUGUCUCAC